CGGGGAGUAGCGCAGUUGGCAGCGCACCUGCUUUGGGAGCAGGAGGCCGCGGGUUCAAGUCCCGCCUCCCCGA
rnacentral:tRNA from 1 species